AGUGGCGGACGGGUGAGUAACGCGUGAGAAUCUGCCCUUUGGAUGGGGAUAACGACUGGAAACGGUCGCUAAUACCCAAUAUGCCGAGAGGUGAAACUUAUAUGGCCAGAGGAUGAGCUCGCGUCUGAUUAGCUAGUUGGAGUGGUAACGGCACACCAAGGCGACGAUCAGUAGCUGGUCUGAGAGGAUGAUCAGCCACACUGGGACUGAGACACGGCCCAGACUCCUACGGGAGGCAGCAGUGGGGAAUUUUCCGCAAUGGGCGAAAGCCUGACGGAGCAAGACCGCGUGAGGGAGGAAGGCCUACUGGUUGUAAACCUCUUUUGAUAGGGAAGAAGAAAGUGACGGUACCUAUCGAAUCAGCAUCGGCUAACUCCGUGCCAGCAGCCGCGGUAAUACGGAGGAUGCAAGCGUUAUCCGGAAUUAUUGGGCGUAAAGCGUCCGUAGGUGGUUAUUCAAGUCAGCUGUCAAAGGAUGGAGCUUAACUCCAUAAAGGCAGUUGAAACUGUGUAGCUAGAGUGCGAUAGGGGCAAGGGGAAUUCCCAGUGUAGCGGUGAAAUGCGUAGGUAUUGGGAAGAACAUCGGUGGCGAAAGCGCCUUGCUGGGUCUGCACUGACACUGAGGGACGAAAGCUAGGGGAGCGAAAGGGAUUAGAUACCCCUGUAGUCUUAGCUGUAAACGAUGGAUACUAGGCGUUG
rnacentral:rRNA from 1 species